UACGAAGGGGGCUAGCGUUGCUCGGAAUUACUGGGCGUAAAGGGUGCGUAGGCGGGUCUUUAAGUCAGAGGUGAAAUCCUGGAGCUCAACUCCAGAACUGCCUUUUAUACUGAGGAUCUUGAGUUCGGGAGAGGUGAGUGGAACUGCGAGUGUAGAGGUGAAAUUCGUAGAUAUUCGCAAGAACACCAGUGGCGAAGGCGGCUCACUGGCCCGAUACUGACGCUGAGGCACGAAAGCGUGGGGAGCAAACAGG
rnacentral:rRNA from 1 species